UACGUAGGGUGCGAGCGUUGUCCGGAAUUAUUGGGCGUAAAGGGCUCGUAGGCGGUUUGUCGCGUCGGGAGUGAAAACCUUGGGCUUAACUCAGGGCUUGCUUUCGAUACGGGCAGACUAGAGGUAUGCAGGGGAGAACGGAAUUCUCGGUGUAGCAGUGAAAUGCGUAGAUAUCGAGAGGAACACCAGUGGCGAAGGCGAGUCCCUGGACAACACCUGACACUGAGGCACGAAAGCUAGGGGAGCAAACAGG
rnacentral:rRNA from 1 species